UACAGAGGUCCCGAGUGUCGUUCGGAUUCACUGGGCGUAAAGGGUGCGCAGGUGGGUUGGCAAGUUUGAUGUGAAAGCCCCGGGCUUAACCCGGGAAUGGCAUUGAAUACUGUUGAUCUGGAGGAUCGGAGGGGGGACUGGAAUUCUUGGUGUAGCAGUGAAAUGCGUAGAUAUCAAGUGGAACACCAGUGGCGAAGGCGAGUCCCUGGAAAACUCCUGACACCGAGGCACGAAAGCUAGGGGAGCAAACAGG
rnacentral:rRNA from 1 species